rnacentral:rRNA from 1 species
AGAGUUUGAUCAUGGCUCAGAUUGAACGCUGGCGGCGUGCUUAACACAUGCAAGUCGAGCGGUAACAGGCGUAGCAAUACGUGCUGACGAGCGGCGAACGGGUGAGUAAUGCUUCGGAAUCUGCCUAGUAGUGGGGAAUAACCAGUCGAAAGACUGGCUAAUGCCGCAUACGUCCCUUGACCGUAUUGGUCAUUGGAGAAAAGCGGGGGAUCGUAAGACCUCGCGCUAAUAGAUGAGCCGAAGUCGGAUUAGCUAGUUGGUGAGGUAACGGCUCACCAAGGCGACAAUCCGUAGCUGGUCUGAGAGGACGACCAGCCACACUGGGACUGAGACACGGCCCAGACUCCUACGGGAGGCAGCAGUGGGGAAUAUUGGACAAUGGGGGCAACCCUGAUCCAGCGACGCCGCGUGUGUGAAGAAGGCCUGCGGGUUGUAAAGCACUUUUAGUGGGGACAAAAAGCUACGGGCUAAUACCUUGUAGUCUUGAUUUAACCCAAAGAAAAAGCACCGGCUAACUCUGUGCCAGCAGCCGCGGUAAUACAGAGGGUGCGAGCGUUAAUCGGAAUUACUGGGCGUAAAGCGUGCGUAGACGGUUUCGUAAGUCGGGUGUGAAAUCCCCGGGCUCAACCUGGGAAUUGCAUUCGAAACUGCGGGGCUAGGGUACGGAAGAGGGAAGCGGAAUUUCUGGUGUAGCGGUGAAAUGCGUAGAUAUCAGAAGGAACAUCAGUGGCGAAAGCGGCUUCCUGGUCCAGUACCGACGUUCAGGCACGAAAGCGUGGGGAGCAAACAGGAUUAGAUACCCUAGUAGUCC